GUCGAGAAUCUUUCACAAUGGGGGCAACCCUGAUGGAGCGACGCCGCGUGGAGGAUAAGGUCUUCGGAUUGUAAACUCCUGUCAUGCGUGAACAAGGUUGCUUGGUUAAUACCUGGGCAAAUUGAUGGUAACGCAAGAGGAAGAGACGGCUAACUCUGUGCCAGCAGCCGCGGUAAUACAGAGGUCUCAAGCGUUGUUCGGAAUCACUGGGCGUAAAGGGUGCGUAGGUGGCGGGGUAAGUCAGAUGUGAAAGCCCGGGGCUCAACCUCGGAACUGCAUCCGAUACUGCCAUGCUAGAGUACUGGAGAGGUGACUAGAAUUCUCGGUGUAGCAGUGAAAUGCGUAGAUAUCGAGAGGAAUACCAAAGGCGUAGGCAGGUCACUGGACAGUUACUGACACUGAGGCACGAAGGCCAGGGGAGCGAACGGGAUUAGAUACCCGUGUAGUCC
rnacentral:rRNA from 1 species